rnacentral:rRNA from 1 species
CGGGAAUAUUGGGCAAUGGGCGAGAGCCUGACCCAGCCAUGCCGCGUGCAGGAAGAAGGCUUUCUGAGUCGUAAACUGCUUUUGACAGGGAAGAAUAAGCACUACGUGUAGUGUGAUGACGGUACCUGCAGAAUAAGCACCGGCUAACUCCGUGCCAGCAGCCGCGGUAAUACGGAGGGUGCGAGCGUUGUCCGGAUUUAUUGGGUUUAAAGGGUGCGUAGGCGGCCCGUUAAGUCCGGGGUGAAAGCCCGCUGCUCAACAGCGGAACUGCCCUGGAUACUGACGGGCUUGAGUACAGACGAGGUUGGCGGAAUGGACUGAGUAGCGGUGAAAUGCAUAGAUACAGUCCAGAACCCCGAUUGCGAAGGCAGCUGACUAGGCUGUGACUGACGCUGAGGCACGAAAGCGUGGGGAGCGAAC